GUGGGAAGGUUCGUCUAUAAGCUGCGAGGACAGCGAUUCUCCCGCUGUCUCGGUUCGUCUACCGAGUUAAUUGACCGUAGGAAAAAGUCCGCAGUGAGCGAUUCGCUACCAUUUUUCUAUUGUUCUUAAAGAGUACGGCGCUGUCACGUCAAAUUCUGCCUUUCAACCGCCAUCUCAUCGUCUGCCCUGUCAUCGUCUUUUAUACAUUUCCCUUCGCUUCGUACGGACAGUUAUAAAUUUAUCAACAUUUUAAUUAAAACGGACGAGCCGCACAAUUGUACGCGAAAUUCGAAUAAACUUACAAAUAAUGACAUAAAUUUGUUGCCCGAGAAGCAGAAAGAAGAAAGCUUUGCCUUCGUGCAGAAUUCCUUCCAAAAGCUUUACCCUGAGAAAUUUAUUCGAUGCUUUCUGGAGAAAGUAAGAGGUAGUCCAAUUUGAUUUCCUCUCUGUAUAUUUUUUUUCGCUGUAAAAUUCCACCCUGUAGUGGAUAUUUUUGGCGUGGUUGCGGCAACGCGAGGGGUAAACCUGAUUGUUUAAAAAGAGGAGAACCGGAAAAAUACACCCCUCUUUUUACCCCUCACGUAUACCCAACCAUCUACAAGGGGUGAAUUUUUGACUCGGGUUUGUACCGAAUUUCAGCAUCACGCGGAACGUACAGUACCCAACGUCGCGAUAUGAUUUAGGCAUUAUACCAUAGAUGGGUGCAGAGCGAGUAAAACAGUAGAAAGAAAAAAUAAUAACAGUUCUGAAAUAGUGUCUAUUAACAAUAAUUAUGUACAGUUGUUGUACGAGGUUUGAGACGUCGAUUAUAUACCUAUCUACACGUCAGCGGUUGAUAACAUCCGGUGAUUGUUUUGCUGCUCGCGUGUAAAUUAGGAAAUUUUUCAUAUACCGUACAAUCGCUUAUCGGUUGCUGCAUUGGAAAACAAGUUGACCAAGUUCAAGGGUCAUAGGUUACAUGCACGUACGCGUAUACCUUAUCAUGCGACGUUGCUUUUUUCGAACCGAGAAAAAAGAGGCAAUAAAAAUAGCAAAUCCGUUAAUUUUUCUCUAAACAGCUAUGACGUUUCUUCAGUUUUAUACUCAGGGUCAUUGAACCCCGUAAGGGUCCCCUCUGUUCCCGUUUCUCAACUGUAUAACGUUCUCUGCAGUGCUUCAUGUAAUGUUCAAUGUUCUAUAUAUUAUACCUUCUCCCUUCUGCUGCUGCUGCUGCUGCUGAAAAGCAUGCAGCUCAACGACUUCGCUUCUAUACAAAGUCAAGAGCAAUUUAAUCCCGAGUUUGUUGUACACAGUAAACCAUUUAUUGACUGGACGACUCGGAAGCUGCACAGCUCAGAAGCGAUUCUCUUUCGACACUGCACACGUCGCUUUAAAAAAAAAACUCCUCGCAUAGGUACGUACCCGACCCGAAAUUUAUGGCCGAAACGAUUCUCCGAAAAAAAAAAGAAAAAAAAACGAAAAACGAAAAAGUUUCACGUCCCUUGUUUUAUGGGGAUGGUCCCGUACAGCACAGCCGACGGUCGAUCAUCCCAUCCCAGAUUGAAAAUUGAUCAAAGAAAAUGCUUUCCGGGAAAGAGGAGACAAAAAAUUAAGGUCGGACGGUUUGACUUUAAGAUUUUUGUGUAAAUUUAUACGACGCAAAUAUAAAUUUUCGGUGACCCGAUGAAAGGAAUGAAGAAAAAUUGAAAUUCAUUCGAGUCCUCUUUGUAGUGCGGUAGAUUUUCUUCCAAAGCUGUAUCGCCAUCUCCUUCGAUAGUCAACCGCGUCCUAAUUGGAUUUUGAUUCUGGCCGAAUGCCACGAUCACGCCAACAAGCAAUUGAACAAAUGCAGUUGGGAAGCUGUCAACCUUCCAAAAACAAGAAGCGACCUCUUCCCUCGAAGGCGUUUGAACUCGGACAUAAAUUUUCUCGAUCGUGGAAGGCUGACAAAAGUUGUUCGGGAAAGGGAAGAGAGGAAAAAACCAGGCAGACGGUCGUCGAGGACGGUGAGAAUGUUAUAUACGGUGAUACCAGCCGAUGCAUUUAAUCAAGACAAUAGCAUCCGUUGAAACCACCGCAAGGGAAGAUACAGAUAGAAUGGGUUUGGGAAUAGGGAAGGUCCGUCUCCACCUAUAACGCAACCUUGAAGGGAUGAGAUGUCGGUCUAUGUAGUACGAUUGCCAAGAAGAUAAGAAGCGAAGAGGGCAAAUAAAAAAAAAUACAAAAAUACAAAGAGAGAAUAAAGGGGGAGGAAAAAUGGGCAAUGACCAAAACGCCCAUGGGGCUGCGGAAAGACGCGAGUCUUAUAUACGCCCUUAAAUAAGGGCAGAAAUUGUUCGGUCGAAUACGAAAAUCCCUGCAGUUGUUCUUCUUAUAUAUUCAAGUCGAAGAAAGAGGUAUGCGUAUAUUCGAUGGCGCUAUCGGUAUUAGUACACUACGAAACAAUGGAAUAUUCAUUAUACGUACGUACAGCAUGAGAUGACUGGCGCGUUACCAUAGAGGAUGACCUACAUAUGAAAUAAUAAGAUGCAUCGAUGAAUCUAUCGACGGGUCUCAAAAAAACUGUAUGGAAAAUAGCGAAUGAUUUUGCGGACGGCAUAAAGUAGCCAAAAAAAUACUCGAUCCGAGUGUACAUAAUAUAAGCUGAGAUCGACGGGACUUAACUUUAUCCCCGCGCACUUUGCGGAGAAGCGCUCUGAAAGAUUCAUGACCGUUUCUCCUACGCCCAGCUGCGAAUUGGGGACCCAUUUCAAGGUUUAACAAUUUUGGGAUAUAUACCUACGUAUAUAUCUAGGUAUACGGAAACGAGCGACCGCGCUAAAUGGCAAACGUAUGGGGUACGUACUUCAAGGGUGUUUCUUGCUUUCGCUACCCCACCAUUGGCGGAGAAUUUUAGAACUGAAUAUACUAAAACCACCCGCGUCACCCCUUGGUUUGGAAUUUCAAUAAACCUCGCAAGAUAUUCUGCAGCUCGCGGUGCAGACUUCGAUUUUAUAGAGAGAAAAGAGCCGCCGAUAGCCGUCUGAAAAUUUACAUACUAUGUAUAAUACAUUCAUAAUUACAGAGACUAAU